CAGGGAGACAACAAAAUGUUAAAUAUUAAUUUUGUCACCUUAGGUCGAUCGGUAUCUCAGGUCCUUAAUUACUUUAAGAAUUUCAAUUCCUAAGUUUUUUCUAGGUCACACCCAUUACUUUCCCUGGGCCAUUAGCUCAGGUGGUUAGAGCGCACUCCUGAUAAGGGUGAGGUCCCUGGUUCAAGUCCAGGAUGGCCCAUAUCUCUAUGUUGGGGGUAUAGCUCAGUUGGUAGAGCGCCUGCUUUGCAAGCAGGAUGUCAGCGGUUCGAGUCCGCUUACCUCCAUUGAUUACCACUUCUUCCAUAAAUUUAAAGAAGGGAAUUGUUAAUAGAGGUGAUUUAGUUCUGAACGAAUCUAGCUUCCUAAUAAAUACAUUAAGAUGCUGGACUCAUUGAAUUUUAUUCAUUGUUUUCAGAGAACCUUGACAACUGCAUAGAUUAUUUUUAAAGACAAUAAGCAUCUUUAAUGAUGCAGAUUUAUUAUUUGUGCUAAUGCAUUAAUAACAAUUCUAUUGAGCUGAUGCUUCAAUUUUUUGAAGUUAUU
rnacentral:tRNA from 1 species